UUCCAGACUCCUACGGGAGGCAGCAGUGGGGGAUAUUGCACAAUGGGGGAAACCCUGAUGCAGCGACGCCGCGUGGGUGAAGAAGCGCCUCGGCGCGUAAAGCCCUGUCAGCAGGGAAGAAAAUGACGGUACCUGAGUAAGAAGCCCCGGCUAACUACGUGCCAGCAGCCGCGGUCAUACGUAGGAUCCGAGCAUUAUCCGGAGUGACUGGGUGUAAAGAGUUGCGUAGGUGGCAUAAUAAGUAGCUAGUGAAAUCUGGUGGCUCAACCAUUCAGACUAUUAGCUAAACUGUUAAGCUCGAGACCGUUAGGGGUAACUGGAAUUUCUAGUGUAGGAGUGAAAUCCGUAGAUAUUAGAAGGAACACCAAUAGCGUAGGCAGGUUGCUGGGACGGUUCUGACACUAAGGCACGAAAGCGUAGGGAGCAAACGGGAUUAGAUACCCGAGUAC
rnacentral:rRNA from 1 species